rnacentral:lncRNA from 10 species
GGGGUGCGCGUAUGUGUGGUGUGUGUAUGUGUGUGUGGCGUGUGUGUGUGUUGUGUGUGUGCUAUAUGUUUGUGUGGGAAAUGGGUGUGUGUGUGUAGGGUGUGUGUGUGGUGUGGAGUGUGUAUGUGUGUGUGGGUAUGUAUGUGUGAUGUGUGUAUGGUGUGGGGUGUGUGUGGUGUAGGGUGUGUGUGUGGUGUGGGGUGUGUGUGUGUGGUGUGUGUGUAGGGUGUGUGUGUGUUGUGUGGUGUGUGUGUAGGGUGUGUAUAUAUGGUGUGGGGUGUGUGUGGGGUGUGUGUGUGUAUGUGUGGUGUGUGUGUGGUGUGUGGGUGUGUGUGGUGUGUGGUGCGUUCAUGUGUAUGUGUGGUGCAUGUGUGUGAGGUGUGGUGUGUGUGGGUGUGUGAUGUGGGGUGUGUCUGUGGUGUG